rnacentral:rRNA from 1 species
CCUACGGGAGGCAGCAGUGGGGAAUAUUGCACAAUGGGGGAAACCCUGAUGCAGCGACGCCGCGUGAGUGAAGAAGUAAUUCGUUAUGUAAAGCUCUAUCAGCAGGGAAGAAAAUGACGGUACCUGAGUAAGAAGCCCCGGCUAACUACGUGCCAGCAGCCGCGGUAAUACGUAGGGGGCAAGCGUUAUCCGGAUUUACUGGGUGUAAAGGGAGCGUAGACGGCAGUGCAAGUCUGGAGUGAAAGGCUGUGGCUCAACCCCCGGACUGCUCUGGAAACUGUACGGCUGGAGUGCAGGAGAGGUAAGUGGAAUUCCUAGUGUAGCGGUGAAAUGCGUAGAUAUUAGGAGGAACACCAGUGGCGAAGGCGGCUUGCUGGACUGUAACUGACGUUGAGGCUCGAAAGCGUGGGGAGCAAACAGGAUUAGAUACCCGGGUAGUC